rnacentral:miRNA from 1 species
CAAAAGUAAUUGUGGUUUUUGUCAUUACUUUCAAUGGCAAAAACUGCAAUUAUUUUUGCACCAAACCAAUA